rnacentral:RNase_P_RNA from 1 species
UUGGCAAUUCGGGCGAUUACGCUUUAUUGAAAAAUAAGGUGAGGAAAGUCGGGACACCUGUUCCGCCAUUGGCGGGACAAAGGUAGCAGCUAACGGCUGCCGCGCGUAAGCGUAGAGGUGCGAGCAGAAACGCUCCGACCCGAAAGCGUCGGAGGGACCCCAAUCCCAACGUAGAUGGUCCAGCUCCGCGAUAGGGAUAACAACGCGGAGAUGAAACGGCUAAAUCCUUACCGGGUGCAAGGCCGUGCUCCGACCUCAGGUCGGAGAGUGCCGCUCGAGCCCACGAGCAAUCAAGGGCCCAGAUAAAUUAUCGUCAUCCGCCAACCGGCGGAACAGAAUCCCGCUUAUGAGUUGCCACCAGC